rnacentral:rRNA from 1 species
AGUGAACGCUGGCGGUAGGCCUAACACAUGCAAGUCGAACGGCAGCACAGUAAGAGCUUGCUCUUACGGGUGGCGAGUGGCGGACGGGUGAGGAAUACAUCGGAAUCUACUUUUUCGUGGGGGAUAACGUAGGGAAACUUACGCUAAUACCGCAUACGACCUACGGGUGAAAGCAGGGGAUCUUCGGACCUUGCCCGAUUGAAUGAGCCGAUGUCGGAUUAGCUAGUUGGCGGGGUAAAGGCCCACCAAGGCGACGAUCCGUAGCUGGUCUGAGAGGAUGAUCAGCCCCACUUGAACUGAGACACGGUCCAGACCCCUACGGGAGGCAGCAGUGGGGAAUAUUGGACAAUGGGCGCAAGCCUGAUCCAGCCAUACCGCGUGGGUGAAGCAGGCCUUCGGGUUGUAAAGCCCUUUUGUUGGGAAAGACAAGCAGCAGGUUAAUACCCCGCUGUUCUGACGGUACCCAAAGAAUAAGCACCGGCUAACUUCGUG